rnacentral:rRNA from 1 species
UACGGAGGGUGCAAGCGUUAAUCGGAAUUACUGGGCGUAAAGCGCACGCAGGUGGCUGAGUCAGUCGAUUGUGAAAGCCCUGGGCUUAACCUGGGAAUUGCAGUCGAUACUACUCAGCUAGAGUAUGGGAGAGGGUAGUGGAAUUCCCGGUGUAGCGGUGGAAUGCGUAGAUAUCGGGAGGAAUACCAGUGGCGAAAGCGGCACCCUGGCAUUAGCCUGACGCUCAUGUGCGAAGGCGUGGGGAGCGAACGGG